rnacentral:misc_RNA from 1 species
AACGCACGAGACCUGCGGACCUGCGGAGGGAUCAUUACAAGUGACCCCGGUUUACCACCGGGAUGUUCAUAACCCUUUGUUGUCCGACUCUGUUGCCUCCGGGGCGACCCUGCCUUCGGGCGGGGGCUCCGGGUGGACACUUCAAACUCUUGCGUAACUUUGCAGUCUGAGUAAACUUAAUUAAUAAAUUAAAACUUUCAACAACGGAUCUCU